GACAGAGGCCUCGAGCGUUAGGCGGAAUCACUGGGCUUAAAGCGUGUGUAGGCGGAUCGUUAAGUACCUUGUGAAAUCCCACGGCUCAACCGUGGAACGGCUGGGUAUACUGGCGGUCUUGGGCCAUUCAGGGGCGACUGGAACAAGCGGUGGAGCGGUGAAAUGCGUAGAUAUCGCUUGGAACGCCGGAAGGUGAAAACAGGUCGCUGGGGAUGUGCCGACGCUGAGACACGAAAGCCAGGGGAGCAAACGGGG
rnacentral:rRNA from 1 species